rnacentral:rRNA from 1 species
GCUCGUGUCGUGAGAGUGUUGGGUUAAGUCCCGUAACGAGCGCAACCCUUGUCCUUAGUUACCAGCACGUUAUGGUGGGCACUCUAAGGAGACUGCCGGUGACAAACCGGAGGAAGGUGGGGAUGACGUCAAGUCAUCAUGGCCCUUACGGCCUGGGCUACACACGUGCUACAAUGGUCGGUACAAAGGGUUGCCAAGCCGCGAGGUGGAGCUAAUCCCAUAAAACCGAUCGUAGUCCGGAUCGCAGUCUGCAACUCGACUGCGUGAAGUCGGAAUCGCUAGUAAUCGUGAAUCAGAAUGUCACGGUGAAUACGUUCCCGGGCCUU